UAAAGCGUGCGCAGGCGGUUGUGCAAGUCUGAUGUGAAAGCCCCGGGCUUAACCUGGGAACGGCAUUGGAGACUGCACGACUAGAGUGCGUCAGAGGGGGGUAGAAUUCCACGUGUAGCAGUGAAAUGCGUAGAGAUGUGGAGGAAUACCGAUGGCGAAGGCAGCCCCCUGGGAUGACACUGACGCUCAUGCACGAAAGCGUGGGGAGCAAACAGGAUUAGAUACCCUGU
rnacentral:rRNA from 1 species